rnacentral:rRNA from 1 species
GAUGAACGCUAGCGACAGGCUUAACACAUGCAAGUCGAGGGGCAGCGGGGGUAGCAAUACCCGCCGGCGACCGGCGCACGGGUGAGUAACGCGUAUGCAACUUACCUAUCAGAGGGGGAUAACCCGGCGAAAGUCGGACUAAUACCGCAUGAAGCAGGGGCCCCGCAUGGGGAUAUUUGCUAAAGAUUCAUCGCUGAUAGAUAGGCAUGCGUUCCAUUAGGCAGUUGGCGGGGUAACGGCCCACCAAACCGACGAUGGAUAGGGGUUCUGAGAGGAAGGUCCCCCACAUUGGUACUGAGACACGGGCAAAACUCCUACGGGAGGCAGCAGUGAGGAAUAUUGGUCAAUGGGCGCGAGCCUGAACCAGCCAAGUCGCGUGAGGGAUGAAGGUUCUAUGGAUCGUAAACCUCUUUUAUAAGGGAAUAAAGUGCGGGACGUGUCCUGUUUUGUAUGUACCUUAUGAAUAAGGAUCGGCUAACUCCGUGCCAGCCGCCGCCGUAA